rnacentral:rRNA from 1 species
AAAUUGAAGAGUUUGAUCAUGGCUCAGAUUGAACGUUGGCGGCAGGCCUAACACAUGCAAGUCGAACGGUAACAGGAAGCAGCUUGCUGCUUUGCUGACGAGUGGCGGACGGGUGAGUAAUGUCUGGGAAACUGCCUGAUGGAGGGGGAUAACUACUGGAAACGGUGGCUAAUACCGCAUAACGUCGCAAGACCAAAGAGGGGGACCUUCGGGCCUCUUGCCAUCAGAUGUGCCCAGAUGGGAUUAGCUUGUUGGUGAGGUAACGGCUCACCAAGGCGACGAUCCCUAGCUGGUCUGAGAGGAUGACCAGCCACACUGGAACUGAGACACGGUCCAGACUCCUACGGGAGGCAGCAGUGGGGAAUAUUGCACAAUGGGCGCAAGCCUGAUGCAGCCAUGCCGCGUGUAUGAAGAAGGCCUUCGGGUUGUAAAGUACUUUCAGCGGGGAGGAAGGUGUUG